rnacentral:tRNA from 1 species
CAGAACCUUAAGUUAACAAAACUAAUGGCUUUCAAAGCCUUAAACAUAGGUUUAAUUCCUAUAGGCUCUGA